AAUUGUUGUUAAAUCCGAUUUAUUAAAAAUAUGAAUCAUUAUUAGUUUACGUUAAUGUAUAAUAAAUAAACCUUGUGAUUUUCUUUAGUAUUUUCCGAAUUUUUUUAAAUCUUGGAAGAAGUUGUUCCUCUCCCCCCUGAAUCGUUCGAGGAAACAUAUUAAAUUCGGAAAAAGCCUAUUUUAGAAAUUCGAUUCGGGUAGAAAAAUGUCGUGAGAAUCGCGGCCAAUAUACUUUGUAUUGAUAAAAUCAUCGUAUAGAUAAUUUUCACACA